rnacentral:rRNA from 1 species
AUUGAACGCUGGCGGCAGGCCUAACACAUGCAAGUCGAGCGGAUGAAGGGUGCUUGCUCCUGGAUUCAGCGGCGGACGGGUGAGUAAUGCCUAGGAAUCUGCCUGGUAGCGGGGGAUAACGUCCGGAAACGGGCGCUAAUACCGCAUACGUCCUGAGGGAGCAAGUGGGGGAUCUUCGGACCUCACGCUAUCAGAUGAGUCUAGGUCGGAUUAGCUAGCUGGUGGGUUAAAGGCCUACCAAGGCGACGAUCCGUAACUGGUCUGAGAGGAUGAUCAGUCACACUGGAACUGAGACACGGUCCAGACUCCUACGGGAGGCAGCAGUGGGGAAUAUUGGACAAUGGGCGAAAGCCUGAUCCAGCCAUGCCGCGUGUGUUAAGAAGGUCUUCGGAUUGUAAAGCACUUUAAGUUGGGAGGAAGGGCAGUAAGUUAAUACCUUGCUGUUUUGACGUUACCAACAGAAUAAGCACCGGCUAACUUCGUG